CCUUUUUUACAAAGUGUGCCUUUUUGUCCAGGGAAACAAGACAGAAAUUUUGCUGUAAAAAGGAUGAUAAAUCCCAGCGUGGCACAAGUUCUCAUAUGAAAAGGAUUUUAAGGCUCUGGGUCCAAGAGCAGUUGUGUGGUGAUCUGAAGGCUAGUAAGACAAGCACAAGGACUUGUACAAGCAUCAAGGCUCCUUGUCUGACAGAAGAAUGAAGAAAUAUGUCAGUAUUGCUGAGUCCUCUGCUAUGAAUCACUUAAGCUACUGAGAACAGGAACAGCUGGAGGCCAAAGAUUUCCUCAGACAUCAUUUGGAGUCAUGCACAGUGGGGAAAACCUGACUCCAUUUAAAUCUGGUUGUCUCAUGGAUUGUAUUGCCUGAGCCCAGGAAGAGCACUAAGGCAUAUUAUCACUUCACUGAAAAUGGGAGAAACAGCUCUGCUUGAAGAAUAUGACAGAUAUGGCUGCAGUGCUACCACAGUUCACUCCAUUAACUUUUUGAGUAAGAUCUUUUAAUUAUUGUAUUCUAUUCAACUGAAAUACACAUUCAGCAAUGUCACAACACAAUAACUAGCAAAGCAAUAAAACGCAUCUGUAAAACUUCAGGGCCUGAUCCUUGACCUCUUUAAUGUG